AUUGUUUAUAAAUAUAAGUCCACUUGUUCUCACACUUGGCAUAACAAUAAAAGAAACCCAUUAGAGUUACCUCAAUCAAAGACGAUCCAUCAAUAUCACUAAUCUUCUUCUUCUUUUUUGACAGUGCAAGCAAACUUGGUGUAGAUGGACUUUGAGCAGUUUUAUCGUUGUUACUCUGUCUCCUCAAUUGGCAAGCCACAUGCGGAAAACGGUGAUAAAAUUAUAAUGCCGCCGUCGGCUCUCCAUCGCCUUGUUUGGGGUCCACAGGUGGCCUACCCUAUGCUGUUUCAGCUCAACAAUCCCAAUUCUGAAUCUGGACGAGUUACUCAUUGCGGGGUCUUGGAAUUUGUUGCUGAUGAGGGCUUUGUAUUUUUACCAUCUUGGAUGAUGCACAACCUGCUUUUACAAGAGGGUAACCUUGUUCAUGUCAAAAGCCAAAGCCUUCGGAAGGGAACAUAUGUCAAACUGCAACCUCACACCAAGGACUUUCUUGAUAUCUCAAACCCUAAAGCCGCUCUGGAGACUGCGUUGAGGAGCUACUCUUGUUUAACCAUCGGUGACACAAUCAUGCUUCCUUAUAACAGUAAGAAGUAUUACAUCAACAUAAUUGAAACAAAGCCCUCCUCUGCAAUCUGUAUAGUUGAUACCGACUGCGAGGUUGAUUUUGCCCCUCCUCUUGAUUAUGUGGAGCCUGAAAAGAAGCCAGCACCAUCCACUCUGCCAAUAAAGAGACCACAAGAAGCUGAUGAAGACGAACAAGAGACACCUGAAAAGAUAGCGAAGUUCAGUCCCUUUACUGGUUCAGCCAGACGAUUGGAUGGAGAACCGGUCUUGACACAAUCCGUUGCACAUGCAGUUCCUUCUCCUCCUGAACUCAAGCAGCGCCAACUGGAGAGUGAAAAUAGAACCAACAAAAAGGGUUCUAAGUCAUCAGCUUCUGCUUCAGUUCAACUUUCUGGAAAGCUUGUGUUUGGUUCAAAUGUCAACCGGCCCACGAAUGCAACCCCAAAAGUUGCCCCAAACAACAGCAGCAGGCAAGAGCCCCCUCACAAGUCAGAAGAGCCAAAGUUGCAAGCAUUCACAGGGAAGAAGUAUACCCUGAAAGGGUGAAGUUAGGGCAUAUCGAUCCUUCAUCCAAAACAUACGAGCUGCUAUGAUUAAAAGCUUCGAUAACAUGUAACACCCAGGGAGGGAGAAUCUGUUUCCUUUGUAAUUUCAUUGUUCUGAAUUUAUUACUAUCAAUUAAAGCAAUUGCAAUUUCCAUAUUUUCUGAUUCUUCCUUUUGUAAUUUUCAUACAUAAUUGGUAUUCUUCAACAGACCCCAGUAGCUAAGCUUUCCCGUCAAUCUUAAUUCCAAGGAUAUGUAACUACAUCCAUAUCUAUUAAUCAUACCCAAGUUCCAUCUUCAACCUUCCACCUAUGUAGUCGAUUAUAGUCAUUCUACGCAAAUAUAUUCAACUUAUCAAACACUACUUUGUUUUACUAAACACAUACGAGAACGGCUAUGGUUGAAAGCCUGGAUAACAAGUAACACCUAGGGGGGAGAAUUUGUUUACUUCAGUAUUUUCUUGUUUUGAUUACCAUCAGUUAUAGCAAUUGCAAUUGUCAUCUUUUCUGGUCUCUGUUUUUCUCUCUCUUUUUUUCAUACAUAAUUGGUAUUUUUUGGCUUUUGAAAUAACUGAAUGUACGUAUUAAUUAUCUUUCAGUAUAAUUCUCAGUCUAAGUCUGAAGAAAACUAUACUCUUGUGCUAAUUAAGUUAAGGCCAUCACUCAUUCGUUUUUUAGGACAUGCCAAAGUCCCGUGUGACAUGCCAUGCGACUAAACCAUUCGAAUUCGACAUGGCUACUGCUAGGGCAAAAGCAGGACUGUACAACGUUUUUCUAUUUAUGACUUGCUUUGAGGACAUGUUAAUCACCUAGAAUCCCACUAGAAGAGCACUCUUCUUUACCAAUUUCAAAUUCUACUUGCGCGUUGUAAAAAAGUUCUGCAAAAACAAACCAAACAAAUAGUUUCAUUUUGAAGGUUAAUCCCUUCAUUCCAAUCCUUGCAUUUCACCAUUGAUGAACAACAAUUUUCAAUUAGAUUUUACUCAGUUUAGCAAAUAAACACAGCCAUAAUCCAAAAUGAGUAUUGAAAAGAAGAAUGAUGAAAAACCCACCAUACCCAAAAAGAGAGAAAAAAAAACAAAUUUCUUCCACAAAAGAGAGCAAUUCUAAAACCAACAAAAACAACCAACCCCGUAACCAAGAGAAGAAAAUGAAUCAUACAGAAAGUGACAAACUCAGCCAACACAGUUUAGUUUCUUAAUUAUCCAUUUCUCAACAUGUAUGAUCCAUGUCAAAUCUAGGUCCUGUAUAGUCUAUAGUAAUUCAGCUAAAUGCUUAAUAUCUACAUAUUUGGCCUUUGACUCUGUUUUCACUGAUCAGACUAGCUGAUAGUUGAAGCAACGGAAUCCAUUAGUGCCUAACAGAGAAAUGGAGGAGGGAAGAAGUCAAUUAGAACAUAAUGAGAACAUCUAAAAGUCAGUUUAGAAGAUAAAAAUGAAUAUGCAACAUUUUGCCUUCAGAAAUCAAUAGCUGGGCUACUUUCACAUUGCUGGAGUUGAUACUUUAUGAACCAAACAUACUAACAUCUAAAAGCUUUUAUUUUUCUUAAACUUUCUCUGUCAGUAAAACCCACAAAUUUGACACAACAUAAGAAUUGGUGAAGAUUCAACCCCACACCAACUCACAUUGAUUGCCUUUGCCUCCAUAGAAUUGAUACAACAAUGCUCGCAGAGAGUCUUUAUUUUGCAGGGGCAGAUUCAAGUGAAACAUUAUUAAGGCGCUCCAGAGCCACAAUAAGCGCCUGGGUACCCAAAUUGCCUUCCCCAUGAGCCUUCAACGACAAGUAAAGCUGCUGAGCCAGAGCCAAUCCAGGCAAAGCCAAACCCAUGUUCUGGCAUUCCUUCAAGCAAAUGCCUAAGUCCUUCACAAAGUGGUUCACAUAGAAUCCCGGCUCGAAAUCCCUCUUCAAAAUCCUACCUCCAUACAAAUCCAGCGACUUUGAACCAGCCGCACCCACUUUGAUCGCAUUUAAGAACAGACC